rnacentral:ncRNA from 1 species
AUCUUCAGGGCGGGGUGCAAUUCCCCACCGGCGGUAUAGCCCGCGAGCCGAAAGGCAUGACCCGGUGUGACUCCGGGGCCGACAGUACAGUCUGGAUGGAAGAAGAU